ACUGCUCAGUAACACGUGGACAACCUGACCAAAAGUCUGGGAUAACCCCGGGAAACUGGGGAUAAUACCGGAUAGAUCACCCUUCCUGGAAUGGUGGGUGGUUGAAACUUCAGGGGCUUUUGGGUGGGUCUGCGGCUGAUUAGGUUGUUGCCGGUGUAACGUACCGUCAAGCCAGUUAUCAGUACGGGUUGUGGGAGCAAGAGCCCGGAGAUGGAUUCUGAGACACGAAUCCAGGCCCUACGGGGCGCAGCAGGCGCGAAAACUCUACAAUGCAGGCAACUGCGAUAGGGGAACAUCGAGUGAUACUCAUAUUGGGUGUCUGUCCUUCCGUCUAAAAAACGGGAGUUAGCAAGGGCCGGGCAAGACCGGUGCCAGCCGCCGCGGUAAUACCGGCGGCUCGAGUGGUGGCCGAUAUUAUUGAGUCUAAAGGGUCCGUAGCCGGCUUGGCAAGUCUCUUGGGAAAUCCAGCGGCUUAACCGUUGGUCGUCCGGGAGAUACUACCUUGCUUGGGACUGGGAGAGGUAGGAGGUACUCAGGGGGUAGGAGUGAAAUCCUGUAAUCCUUUGGGGACCACCGGUGGCGAAGGCGUCACGCCAGAACAGGUCCGACGGUGAGGGACGAAAGCUAGGGGCACGAACCGGAUUAGAUACCCGGGUAGUCCUAGCCGUAAACGAUGCUCGCUAGGUGUCACGACAGUCGUGAAUUGUCGUGGUGCCGUAGGGAAGCCGUGAAGCGAGCCACUUGGGAAGUACGACCGCAAGGUUGAAACUUAAAGGAAUUGGCGGGGGAGCACA
rnacentral:rRNA from 1 species